rnacentral:rRNA from 1 species
UCCGCAGGGGGUUUGCCAAGUCUGGUGUGAAAUCUCACGGCUCAACCGUGAAACUGCACUGGAAACUGGUGAACUGGAGUCUGCGAGGGGUGAGCGGAAUUCCUGGUGUAGCGGUGGAAUGCGUAGAUAUCAGGAAGAACACCGAUGGCGACGGCGGCUCACUGGCGCAGUACUGACCCUCAUGGACGAAAGCGUGGGUAGCGAACAGGAUUAGAUACCCUGGUAGUCC